CCUACGGGAGGCUGCAGUGAGGAAUAUUGGUCAAUGGCCGGAAGGCUGAACCAGCCAAGCCGCGUGAGGGAGGAAGGCGCAGAGCGUCGCAGACCUCUUUUGCCGGGGGACAAAAGGCCGGACUCGUCCGGUCCUGAGGGUACCCGGAGAAAAAGCAUCGGCUAACUCCGUGCCAGCAGCCGCGGUAAUACGGAGGAUGCGAGCGUUAUCCGGAUUCAUUGGGUUUAAAGGGAGCGCAGACGGCAGGGCAAGUCUGAUGUGAAAGUCCGGGGCUCAACCCCGGGACUGCAUUGGAAACUGUCCGGCUAGAGUGCAGGAGAGGUAAGUGGAAUUCCUAGUGUAGCGGUGAAAUGCGUAGAUAUUAGGAGGAACACCAGUGGCGAAGGCGGCUUACUGGACUGUAACUGACGUUGAGGCUCGAAAGCGUGGGGAGCAAACAGGAUUAGAUACCCCAGUAGUC
rnacentral:rRNA from 1 species